rnacentral:rRNA from 1 species
UACGUAGGGCGCAAGCGUUGUCCGGAAUUAUUGGGCGUAAAGAGCUCGUAGGCGGUUUGUCGCGUCUGCUGUGAAAACCCGGGGCUCAACCCCGGGCCUGCAUUCGAUACGGGCAGACUAGAGUUCGGUAGGGGAGUCUGGAAUUCCUGGUGUAGCGGUGAAAUGCGCAGAUAUCAGGAGGAACACCGGUGGCGAAGGCGGGACUCUGGGCCGAUACUGACGCUGAGGAGCGAAAGCGUGGGGAGCGAACAGG